UUUACAAACUACACCUAACCACUCCCAUGUGGGAACCCACUCUCAUCAAGAUAAUUAGAUUUAUCAAAUGAUCUCUGCAUAUUGCAAGCUUUGAGAGUUGAGAGAGAGAGCUAAUGAAGAUGAGAGAGAAAGGAUCACAACCUCUAAUUACAAACCAAGAAACCAGAAGCCAUGAUGGAGAUGAAGAUAAAUGCAGGUUUGGAAGUAAAGAAUUUAUGGAGGAAGGAAAGCAGCAGCUGGGAUUGGCUAUACCCCUCAUAGCAGUAAACAUGCUUCUCUACUGUUUACAAGUCAUCUCUUUGAUGUUUGUUGGCCACCUUGGUGAGCUGCAGCUCUCCAGCGCUUCCAUGGCCACUUCUUUUGCUGCAGUCACCGGCUUCAGCGUGUUGCUAGGAAUGGGAAGUGCACUAGAAACUCUGUGUGGGCAGGCCUAUGGCGCGAAGCAGUACCAAAUGCUUGGUGUUUAUACUCAACGAGGUGCUGUGGUCGUUCUAGCUUUGAGCAUCGGCCUUGCAGUUGUGUGGUACAACACCUGCUUCAUUCUGGUUGGUCUAGGUCAAGAUCACGAUAUCGCUGCUGGAGCUGGUGAGUUCAACCGUUGGAUGAUACCCGGUCUCUUCGCCUAUGGCAUCCUCCAAUGUCUCAUUAGGUUUCUUCAGGCACAGAACAUAGUACUUCCCAUGAUGAUAACCUCUGGGGUGACUGGUGUGCUCCAUGUGUUUCUGUGUUGGUUGCUCGUGUUCAAACUCGAGUUUGGAAGCCGAGGGGCUGCAAUGGCGAAUGCUGCCUCGUACUGGAUCAAUGUGGUGUUGCUGGCAUUGUAUGUCAGCUGCUUCUCCUCAGCCUGUGCAGAAAGUUUCACUGGUUUCUCAAGAGAAGCUUUUGAUGAUGUAAUUGGGUUUCUGAGGCUUGCAGUUCCUUCAGCUCUGAUGAUAUGCUUGGAAUACUGGUCAUUUGAAAUGGUCGUUAUUCUAUCCGGUCUUCUCCCAAACCCAAAGCUAGAGACAUCAGUACUGUCAAUAAGCCUUAACACUUGCUGGAUGGUGUAUAUGAUUUCUGUUGGUCUUGGUGGUGCAGUAAGCACAAGAGUGUCGAACGAACUGGGAGCUGGCAAUGCAGCACGCGCUCGUCUUGCUGUAAUUGUAGCAGCAGCAAUUGCAGCCUCGGAAGGAGUGAUCAUCGGAGCAAUCACAGUUUUGGCCCGGAAUGUCUGGGGAAAGCUGUACAGCAACGAAGGGGAAGUGAUCGUAUACGUAGCUAGAAUCCUGCCCCUGCUGGCGCUGUCAGACUUCUUGGAUGGUUUCCAGUGUGUGCUAUCAGGAGCUGCUAGAGGGUGUGGAUGGCAAACUCUGUGUGCAGCCAUCAAUCUUGGGGCUUACUAUGUGGUAGCCAUUCCUUCUGCUGUGCUCCUCGCCUUCGUCUUUCGCGUUGGGGGCAUGGGGCUUUGGAUGGGGAUCAUAUGUGGCCUUUCUGUUCAAGCUGUGGUGUUGAUCAUCAUAAAUCUGCGCACUAAUUGGAAUGAUGAGGUGACGAGGGCUGUAAAUCGAGUUCGAGCAACUCGGGAAAUGGGUUCGGAUUGAAACUUUAAUUUCCCAAGUCAAACACUAUAUUCAUUGCAACACAUGUAGAACUUGCGGGAAUAACAAAGUAGAGGCAUGUAAAACAGGCGCUCCUAUGGCAGAAACUUCGAUUUCUGAAUGCUCAUACGACACAGUUUCAUUGCAAGCAUUCAAGAGAUGAGAACUGUGACCUUGAUGUGUCUGACUGGCUUCAGGAACACUCAAUUGAAGACUGGUUGGAUAGCGGCUCGUCUCCCUGCUUGCUGGCCUCUGGUGAAGCACAAGGCUGCUGUUCUUCAUUUUCGUUCUUCUCUGGACAGAAAUUAAUUGGGAACUUUGUAACUCGAGGUUUAUCAGCCAAGAUGUUUCUUUGGACCUUAUCGAUAAGAACCUUCUGAGGAGGCUCUGCUUUUAGCUGCUCAUCCUCGUAGUCAUUGUUGACAUAAUAUCCUACUCGAACAAAUUCUUGGCCCUGAUACGAGCAAGUCAGGAGUAGCACGGUGACUCCAAUAAUAUCUUCCUCUUGAAUUUUUGAUGGGUCUGGUGGAUCAGCCUGGAA